GAUGAAGAACGCAGCGAAAUGCGAUAAGUAAUGUGAAUUGCAGAAUUCAGUGAAUCAUCGAAUCUUUGAACGCACAAUGCGCCCGCCAGUAUUCUGGCGGGCAUGCCUGUUCGAGCGUCAUUUCAACCAUCAAGCCCCCGGCUUGUGUUGGGGACCUGCGGCUGCCGCAGGCCCUGAAAAGCAGUGGCGGGCUCGCUGUCACACCGAGCGUAGUAGCAUACAUCUCGCUCUGGGCGUGCUGCGGGUUCCGGCCGUUAAACCACCUUCAUAACCCAAGGUUGACCUCGGAUCAGGUAGGAAGACCCGCUGAACUUAAGCAUAUCAAUAAGCGGAGGA
rnacentral:misc_RNA from 1 species